GCGUGAGCGAAGAAGGCCUUCGGGUCGUAAAGCUCUGUUGUUAGGGAAGAACAAGUACGAGAGUAACUGCUCGUACCUUGACGGUACCUAACCAGAAAGCCACGGCUAACUACGCGCCAGCAGCCGCGGUAAUACGUAGGUGGCAAGCGUUGUCCGGAAUUAUUGGGCGUAAAGCGCGCGCAGGCGGUCCUUUAAGUCUGAUGUGAAAGCCCACGGCUCAACCGUGGAGGGUCAUUGGAAACUGGGGGACUUGAGUGCAGAAGAGGAGAGUGGAAUUCCACGUGUAGCGGUGAAAUGCGUAGAGAUGUGGAGGAACACCAGUGGCGAAGGCGACUCUCUGGUCUGUAACUGACGCUGAGGCGCGAAAGCGUGGGGAGCAAACAGGAUUAGAUAUCCUGGUAGUCCACGCCGUAAACGAUGAGUGCUAAGUGUUAGAGGGUUUCCGCCCUUUAGUGCUGCAGCUAACGCAUUAAGCACUCCGCCUGGGGAGUACGGCCGCAAGGCUG
rnacentral:rRNA from 1 species